rnacentral:rRNA from 1 species
UACGUAGGGGGCUAGCGUUGUCCGGAAUCAUUGGGCGUAAAGCGCGUGUAGGCGGCCCGGUAAGUCCGCUGUGAAAGUCGGGGGCUCAACCCUCGGAUGCCGGUGGAUACUGUCGGGCUCGAGUACGGAAGAGGCGAGUGGAAUUCCUGGUGUAGCGGUGAAAUGCGCAGAUAUCAGGAGGAACACCGAUGGCGAAGGCAGAUCUCUGGGCCGUAACUGACGCUGAGGAGCGAAAGCGUGGGGAGCGAACAGG